rnacentral:lncRNA from 1 species
ACUACCCUUACACCUCUCCACCACCACCGGCCUCUCCUCCCUACCAUUACAAGUCACCACCGCCUCCUUCUCCUUCUCCUCCAGUGCACUACUCACCACCUAAGCAUCCCUACCACCCUAAGUCACCACCACCUCCUGUGUACGCACCACCUAAGCAUCCCUACCACCCUAAGUCACCACCACCUCCUGUGUACCCACCACCUAAGCAUCCCUACCACCCCAAGUCACCACCACCAUCACCAAAGCCUUACCACUACAAAUCCCCACCACCACCUCCUGCUCCAGUGCACUCACCACCCCCACCUAAGGAGCCAUACCACUACAAGUCCCCACCACCACCACCCAAGAAGCCCUACCACUACAAAUCUCCCCCACCACCUCCUCCUCCAGUUCACUCACCACCACCACCCAAGGAGCCUUACCACUACAAAUCUCCACCACCACCACCCAAGAAACCUUACUAUUACAAGUCUCCUCCACCACCACCAAAGAAGCCUUACCACUACAUGUCUCCUCCCCCACCGGUGUACUCACCACCUCCACCAGUGCACUCACACCCACCACCAAAAAAGCCUUACCAUUACAAAUCUCCUCCCCCGCCAGAAUAUUCACCAGCUCCACCAGUGCACUCAACCCCACCACCAAAGAAGCCCUACCAUUACAAAUCCCCACCACCACCACCACCACACAAGAAGCCUUAUUACCCUGUUCACUCACCACCUCCACCUAAGAAGCCUUACCACUACAAAUCCCCACCACCACCUUCUCCUACUCCUCCUAAAUACUCACCACCUAAGCACCCCUACCACUACAAGUCUCCACCACCACCACCAAAGAAGCCUUACCAUUACAAGUCCCCACCACCUCCUUCUCCUACUCCCCCUAAAUACUCACCACCUAAGCACCCCUACCACUACAAGUCACCACCACCACCACCCCAAGAAGCCUUACCACUACAAGUCUCCACCACCACCACCUCCUCCAGUUCCCACACCAUCUCCACCCAAGAAACCUUACCACUACAAGUCUCCCCCACCACCCCCUCCAGUCUACAAGUCUCCUCCACCACCAGUUUACUCACCACCACCACCACCUAAGAAACCUUACAAGCCACCAACUCCUCCAGCAGUUCACCCACCACACGGUUACAUCUAUUCCUCACCCCCACCUCCUCACCACUA